UAACGUUUACUGCUAACCCUGCUAACAACUACACCAAUAAUGGAUGGUUUGCAGCUGCUUUAACAAUAGAAGACUUCCCUGUGACCACAAUUAAUGUAAAUAGGAACUCAUACACAGCAUCGACCCCUUUGACACAAAUUCCACUGCAGUUUUUGAUUCAUACUGAAACUAUUCCUGGAUCUUGUAAUGAUAAACCGGUCUUUGUAUCACCUACACCUUCAGAUGGAACUGUAACUACACUAAAGGCUGCCAAUAGUUUUACUACAGAGUUUUAUGUUCAUGCAGAUUCAGGUGUAAAAUCCAUAGAUAUCAAUGGACCAUUAGGAAUACACAAAACGGCAUUAUCACUAGACGGACGUGGAAGGUCAAACGUCUGGUUGGUUGUUGUUCAUUGGACACCAACGCAAGCCGACCAGGGAACCCAUAUCAUAUGCGCCUCUGCAGAAGAC